AGAGAGACAGGCUGAUGCACAGCAUCUGGUUAAAGUCAGAGAACAGCUACUGUGACCUGGCAAAGGACUCAGCGAAGAUGGAUUCCUCAGCUGCUGAAAAAGCUUAGCCUUCCAGCUGGAACAAUCAACUUGGACCCUGAAGA